AUAAUGACUCUCGGCAACGGAUAUCUUGGCUCUCGCAUCGAUGAAGAACGUAGCGAAAUGCGAUACUUGGUGUGAAUUGCAGAAUCCCGUGAACCAUCGAGUCUUUGAACGCAAGUUGCGCCUGAAGCCUUUUGGCUAAGGGCACGUCUGCCUGGGCGUCACGC
rnacentral:rRNA from 1 species